UGCAGGUGUUCCAAGGUGUGUUGCUC
rnacentral:piRNA from 1 species